rnacentral:rRNA from 1 species
CCUACGGGCGGCUGCAGUGAGGAAUAUUGGUCAAUGGGCGCGAGCCUGAACCAGCCAAGUCGCGUGAAGGAUGACGGCCCUACGGGUUGUAAACUUCUUUUAUCAGGGAACAAUUUAGUCCACGUGUACUCUUAUCGAUAGUCCCUGUAAAUAAAGCAUCGGCUAACCCCUUGCCAGCAGCCGCGGUAAUACGGGGGAUCCUAGCGUUAUCCGGAUUUAUUGGAUUUAAGGGGUGCGUAGGCGGAAUUUCAAGUCAUUGGUAAAGAUUCGGGGCCCAACGCCGGAGUGCCGUUGAAACUGAUGUUCUUGAGUGGGGUAGAAGUAGGCGGAAUGCGUGGUGUAGCGGUGAAAUGCAUAGAUAUCACGCAGAACUCCGAUUGCGAAGGCAGCAUACCGGAGUCCAACUGACGCUGAAGCACGAAAGCGUGGGUAUCGAACAGGAUUAGAUACCCGUGUAGUC